UACGUAGGUGGCAAGCGUUGUCCGGAUUUAUUGGGUUUAAAGGGUGCGUAGGCGGUUUUGUAAGUCAGUGGUGAAAUACUCCGGCUUAACUGGAGGGGUGCCAAUGAUACUGCAGAACUUGAGUACAGAUGAGGUAGGCGGAAUUGACGGUGUAGCGGUGAAAUGCAUAGAUAUCGUCAAGAACACCGAUAGCGAAGGCAGCUUACUGGGCUGUAACUGACGCUGAGGCACGAAAGUGUGGGGAUCAAACAGG
rnacentral:rRNA from 1 species